CUCCUCUGUGUGGGGUCCGUGAUGGCAAUGUGCACGUAUUGGCGUAUCGGGCCCUCGCUUGAAUCUUAGGACAGGAUAACUCGUGGUGGAGACAGCGGACUAGCAGUGCGCCCGUAGGCAAAUGAGGCUCGUGAGGACCAUUUUACGAAACAACUGCCGGUAAUCUUUCAGCAACCGCAGGACUUACCAACAUCGGCCCGUCGCAGUACGGGACCAGCGGCUCCAGAUACGGGACAGACACUGUGAAAUCAGCUGAGGAGGUCUCCUGGGUGGAUGAGUGAGUCAUAACUACCAUCAAAAUCUGCCUUUCAUAGCGUACCUUUCAUACAAAAGAAAAACAUAAAUGUUCUCACCUGUAAAUUGUGAUGUUAUAAUAUGGAAGAGAUUGUCUAUUUUAGAUAAUUCCUUUAUGAUACUAUGAUCCCCAUACGUUAAGCUGAUUAUAGAAUGUCCAAUUGCUAGG